rnacentral:rRNA from 1 species
CCUACGGGAGGCAGCAGUGAGGAAUAUUGGUCAAUGGUCGGGAGACUGAACCAGCCAAGCCGCGUGAGGGAUGAAGGUACAGAGUAUCGUAAACCUCUUUUGUCAGGGAACAAAGGCGGGGACGUGUCCGCGGAUGAGUGUACCUGAAGAAAAAGCAUAGGCUAACUCCGUGCAAGCAGCAGCGGUAAUACGGAGGAUGCGAGCUUUACCGGGUUUUAUUGGGUUUAAAGGGUGCGCAGGCGGUCUGUUAAGUAAGCGGUAAAAGCCCGGGGAUAAACCACGGCCCGCCGUUGAGACUGGCAGUCUCGAGUUGGAGAGAAGUAUGCGGAAUGCGCGGUGUAGCGGUGAAAUGCAUAGAUAUCGCGCAGAACUCCGAUUGCGAAGGCAGCAUGCCGGCUCCACACUGACGCUGAGGCACGAAAGCGUGGGUAUCGAACAGGAUUAGAUACCCUGGUAGUC